AUGCGAGCUAUUGAAGGGGCAGCUGACCUGGGUGCACAACGUAUCAGUUUUGAAUUAGACUAUUUGACAAUGAUUUCUGCACUUAAAGGGCGGGACUACGAUGCUGCGGAGCUAGGAGUUCUCUUCAGAGAAGAAAGAAGCCUGUGCCAUGCCUCCUUUGUUUUCUUUGAAUUCAUGUUUUGUCCCCGGAAAUGUAACCAUGUGGCGCAUGCUUUGGCCCAGUUUGCUAUGGGUGCUGUUGAACCACUUCAUGUGUGGGCGAAUGUUGCCCCAAACUUUGUUUCUAUCUUGGUGAACGCUGAUAUGGCUUCCCAAGUUUAA
rnacentral:rRNA from 1 species